AAAAAGAAAAAGAAAAAAGGGAAUGAGUUUAUUUAAAGGCGCCGGCGAGGACCAAGUCACCAACUUCUUUCCCGGCUGCUGACUUUAGUUACUAAGGCUUAGCAGAUAAUGCCUGGCCCCGGACCUCACCUUAUGUACGCCAUGGGCUCCGGUCUGGCCCUUACCACUUUGACCAACGGCCGCUUCACCCCGCAUCACACCCUCACCUACACCAUCAAUGCCUUUUUUGGUCCUGACAUUGGUUCUUUCUCCGAGUGGCUCGGCUCUAACCUUGGUCCCUCUGCUCAGCUUUUCGGCUCUGCGCUAGCUGACUAUAUCCAUGACCCCUUCUACUAUGUCUUGAUUCUGGGCCUUCCCUUGUGUGUUUUGUACUCUUGGCUCUCCAAAAUUUUGCUUCAAAGGAAGAUUCUUGAUUCAGUUUCUGGGGUGCCCCUUUCAAGGAGGCAAUGCUUAUUGUUGGCGGCUGCUGGGUGUUUAUCACACUUUUUCCUAGAUCACUUGUUUGAGGAAAAUGGACAUUCAUCAGUGUAUACCUGGAUAUUGAGCACUGGUUGGUGGAAGAAUCAAGCACCCAUCAAUCCAGAUGCUGUCGUUGUGGUUGGCUUCCUAUGCACUUGCUUAAUUGGAGGCUUUAUUUACAUCAACAGGUCUAUAUUUUUUUUGGAACCUUGCAUGCUUAUUUUCAUUUGGCUUUAUUCUAAUGUGGGAGUGCUCCUUCACAUAUUGUAUAUUGCUCAAAAUUUUUGGCAUGCAGGGUAAAAUCCUUAAAGUUCACUAGAAAGGAAUCGCACCAAUCAUUGAAACUUAUUAUGAUCAUAGCAAGCCUCUAUUGCUUGUGGUGUGCGAGCCAAAUAUACUGGGUAAAUCCUCGUAGGCCAGCAGUUGGUGAAGAGGCUGAUCUUGGAGUGCUUGUAUUUCUUGCUACUUAUUUAUUUCUUCCUCAUUGUUUGUGCUUUAUUUCCAUGAAUCCUAAAGAUCAUGACACACAGCAACUUCCAUUAUAGCAUAAACAUAAUCACAUAGGUAAGUUGGGACAAAACAAGUUCUGCAAUUUCCAUUCAAUUUCUACAAUCCUGCAUACACACAUUUUGAGUUAUAUUGUCUGCUAGAAUUGGUCUCUCUUUAUUAUUAGGUAUUUCAUUUAUUAAAUAUGUAUAAUAUUAUUCCUCUUAUUUUGCGUGUGAAAUGAUACCAGUCAAGGGAAUGAAAUUCUAGUUUUGAUGGUCUUUUUUCUUCUUUGUAGAAGUGGAAAAUCUCCUUGGCUACGUUUGGCAAGACAUGAUCAUAGUUGUAUUUCAAUUGCAAUUACAUUACUUGUCUUGUUACGUUGUUUGGUUUCAAAAAGAGAAUUUAUUGUAAUGCAAUGCCAAUUAGAUCAUGUAAUUUUUGUUACUUUAACUAAUGUAUUUUAUGUAUUCAUUUAAGUGUUAAUUUGAACUCAUUUAGAAACUAAUUUCAAUUAUAUUUUCAAAUUUUGCAUGCCAAACUCCAUCAAUGAACCAAAAACUGAGGCGUUUUUGUAGAGAGCUCGAAGGCUGGAUUUUGUUUGUGUUAUUGUUGAGUAGCUCCAGAUGAAACUCCAGUUCACUAACAGAUAGGGUGGGCCUCGUGAGACGACCGGAUAUAUUUGAUUUAUUUGUAUAAGAACCGAGGGUAGUAUUGUGUUCAAUGUCUUGAUUUGAGACUUUGCUUUGUCGAAUAUAAAAUUGUGAUAAUUAUAGCAAAGGCUCCAAAUUUAUUGGUAUUCUUUGACAGAUUGUUACGGGCAAGACUCCGAUUUAAAAGAAAAAAAAAAAAAAAAAA
rnacentral:misc_RNA from 1 species